UACGUAGGGUGCGAGCGUUAAUCGGAUUUACUGGGCGUAAAGCGCGCGUAGGCGGUUUGUUAAGCGAGAUGUGAAAGCCCCGGGCUCAACCUAGGAAUUGCGCUUGUGACUGGCGGGCUCGAGUACGGUAGAGGGGGGUGGAAUUCCUGGUGUAGCAGUGAAAUGCGUAGAGAUCAGGAGGAACACCGAUGGCGAAGGCAGCCCCCUGGGCCUGUACUGACGCUCAUGCACGAAAGCGUGGGGAGCAAACAGG
rnacentral:rRNA from 1 species